rnacentral:lncRNA from 1 species
UAUCAUCUUUAUCCUUCAAUUCUUUCCACCGAAAAUGAACAAAAGAAAAGCCACGGGAGAAGUGUAGGUUCGGCCAAGCUUCAUUAUCUAUUUGUAAGUCCAUUUUUGCUCAGUUUUUAAUAAUUUCUACGUUUUUGAGAUCGUUACAUCGAGUACUAGCUAGCUCGUACCUUUGAUUUCAAAACUGCUUAAGUUUAUGAAUGUUGCCAUUAAUGAUUAUAUGUGUAUUUUGAUGAUUGAGGAUAGAUUAUUAAUGUUUGAUGUUGUUUAAACAAGUUUUAUUAAGGAAAUUUUGAUAAAAAUAUCAAAAUGGGAUUAAAUUGACAAAAGUGGAAAUUAUGUAAUUAAAUGUGUGAUUAAGUGAAAAUAUGGGCUGCUAUUGAUGUAUGUGGAAUUCGCCCAAGCUUGGAUUUAAUUGAAAUUGUUGUAAUUUGUGUUUUUAUACAAUAAGGACUAAAGUGCAUAAAUGUGAAACUUUAGGGGCUAAAGUGUAAAAGUACUUAAAUGUGUGUUUUUGAGUUGAAUUGAAUGAAUGGUUGAAUAAAUAAGUUAAUUUUUAAUAUAUCUAGAUCAAGAAAAGCGGAAUUCAGAUCUAGAUCGAGGAGAAAAUCAAAGUUCGAAUUAGUCGACAUAAUUCGUCGUUUUAGCGAACGGGGUAAGUUCGUAUGUUAAUAAAUGUUAUGAAACUAUAUUAUAAAUGCUUAUUAUUUAUGUGAUUGAAUUUAAUGCUAAAUGGUUAUGCAAAUAAAAUUAUUAUGAUUGAGUUAUAUAUGUUAUUAUGAUAUUGAAUUGUUUGAAAAGCAGAAUAUAUGAAUACGAGAAAGUAUUGACAGUGAUGUGACGUCCGAAAGCCCUGUAUGAACCAUAGGAAUAGUAUAGGAUACGAAUGUUAUUACAUUGGGAUUCCGAGAUGUGAUAUCGUGUAAGACAAUGUCUGGGACAUUGGCAUCGAUUAGAGAUUACGUGUAAGACCAUGUCUGGGAUAUCGACAUCGUAUAUGAUUUCGUGUAAGACCCUCUCUGGGAUAGUGACAUCGAUAUUUGAUAACACGUAAGACCAUAUCUGGGAUAUGGCAUUGUACGAGCUUUACGAUCUCUCCGAGUAUCCUUAUUGAUUCCAAACGGUUCAACGGGCAAUAUCGAGAAGCAAAUGACUAUCUGAAUGAGUUAUCCGAUUUAGGUGUGAAAAAUGUUAUACGUAUCUUGAGAAUGAAAUGUGAGUAUGAAUAUAAGUGAUGAUAUUUUAUUUAUACGAGAAAGAUAUGUGUUUAAAUAUGUCAUUUUCCAAAAUGUGCUCAUUUGGCUAAAUGAAGUUAUGAAAUGAAUGUCAUAUGAUAAUUGAAUUGAAUAAACUUGAGGAAGCUAAAUUUAGUUAUGUAAGUGAUUAUAUUAUUGAAUGGUGGUAAGUUGAAAUGAGAACAUGUUAUAAAUUUGAGAAAAGUUUAUGUUUGGCCUGUGAGAUAGCAUAUCAUGCUUAUGACAUUGAAUUGAAAUUAUAUGUUAUGAUAAGUUUAUUAAGAUACGAGCUUACUAAGCUUUAUAGCUUACUUUAUUUCCUUUUUAAUGUUUAUAGUGUCUCGAAGACUCGCUCGGAUUGGAAGUCGUAGGAGAUCUCAUCACACUAUCCGGUUAUCGCUUUGGUAAAUAAAAGCUUUGAGUUUUUUGUUAUGUGGCAUGUAUAGGCUAGUUUUGAUAUAUUUGGUUUAAAAUUUGUAUGUGUAUAGCCAUGCGAAAAUGGCUUGAUCAUAAUGCUAAUGUUGGUUAUAUGAUUCGGCAAUGAGGAAGGGUAGUAAGAUGUAUAUUCAGCUUAUUAGUAAACUUAUUUUGGAAGCAUGAAAAAGUGGUAUAAUGUGGCUUGUUAAUGUGGUAAAAUGAUGGUUAUAUUUUGGGUAUGCUUGAUGGUCAUUUGAAUAACUAUAAGUGAUAUAUUGUUUUGAUGUUAAGUUAUGAGAUAGCAUAUUUAGCUUAAAAGAUUAAGUGAUGUUAAUAUGGUUAAUGAUUCGGUUAGAUAAUAAUGUUGGUAUGUGUUUAUAAUUGCUAUGUAAUGAUUAUGCUAUGCUAUGUGAAUUUGGCUAUUUUGUGUGGCUUAUUAACGACCUAUGUUUUGAAGUAUAAAUUGCCUUGUAAAUUAAUUUGUGAAUGAUGGAAAUUUCU